rnacentral:rRNA from 1 species
GUCUGAUGGAGCACGCCGCGUGAGUGAAGAAGGUUUUCGGAUCGUAAAGCUCUGUUGUUGGUGAAGAAAGAUAGUGAGAGUAACUGCUCAUUAUUUGCCGGUAAUCAACCAGAAAGUCACGGCUAACUACGUGCCAGCAGCCGCGGUAAUACGUAGGUGGCAAGCGUUGUCCGGAUUUAUUGGGCGUAAAGCGAGCGCAGGCGGAAAGAUAAGUCAGAUGUGAAAGCCCUCGGCUUAACCGAGGAAUAGCAUCGGAAACUGGCUUUCUUGGAUGCAGAAAAAGAAAAGGGAACUCCCUGGGGAACGGGGGAAUC